AAUAUUGGACAAUGGGCGGAAGCCUGAUCCAGCCAUGCCGCGUGUGUGAAGAAGGCCUUUUGGUUGUAAAGCACUUUAAGCGAGGAGGAGGCUCCUUUAGUUAAUACCUAAAGAGAGUGGACGUUACUCGCAGAAUAAGCACCGGCUAACUCUGUGCCAGCAGCCGCGGUAAUACCGAGGGUGCGGGCGUUAAUCGGAUUUACUGGGCGUAAAGCGUGCGUAGGCGGCUUUUUAAGUCGGAUGUGAAAUCCCUGAGCUUAACUUAGGAAUUGCAUUCGAUACUGGAAAGCUAGAGUAUGGGAGAGGAUGGUAGAAUUCCAGGUGUAGCGGUGAAAUGCGUAGAGAUCUGGAGGAAUACCGAUGGCGAAGGCAGCCAUCUGGCCUAAUACUGACGCUGAGGUACGAAAGCAUGGGGAGCAAACAGG
rnacentral:rRNA from 1 species